AUUCAUUUCGGCUUCUCUCCUACAAAACAUACAGAGAUCAUUCCCUUACUUAUUUCUGUGUCAGAAGAGCUCGUUCAGUUGAGCAGCCAUGUUGACUCCUAAUGCGGAUAUUGCUGAAGUUUACGUAUUGAGGAAACUCCAUAAAGAGAAGAUGAAGAGACUCGAAAAGAAGACACGUCAAGAAAAUGCGUUAAAAAAGGAUGAUCACGGUGCUGGAUCUGGUUGCUUCUCCAUUUUGUUCAAGAAAGUACAUCCAUCUUCUGUGCCAGAAUAAGAUUCUUAAAUCGACCAAGCUCUUCUCUGUGU
rnacentral:lncRNA from 1 species